UACGGAGGGAGCUAGCGUUGUUCGGAAUUACUGGGCGUAAAGCGCGCGUAGGCGGCUUUGUAAGUUAGAGGUGAAAGCCCGGAGCUCAACUCCGGAACUGCCUUUAAGACUGCAUCGCUUGAAUCCAGGAGAGGUGAGUGGAAUUCCGAGUGUAGAGGUGAAAUUCGUAGAUAUUCGGAAGAACACCAGUGGCGAAGGCGGCUCACUGGACAGUUCCUGACGCUGAGGCACGAAGGUCAGGGGAGCAAACGGG
rnacentral:rRNA from 1 species